UAUAGUAGAGGCGCGGGAUUUAUCAGUAUGCAGAUUGAUACAUGUGGUUGUAGAUGAUGUCUGUUGAAAGGGGAAACCGCCGAAGUUGUGAAUUGUCCACACGAUUCGCCGCUGGUUGUGCAGCUAAGAACUGUAUGACUGUCAUCUAAGGAUGGAGAGCUACUU
rnacentral:ncRNA from 1 species